CCUACGGGUGGCAGCAGUGAGGAAUAUUGGUCAAUGGUCGGGAGACUGAACCAGCCAAGCCGCGUGAGGGAUGAAGGUACAGAGUAUCGUAAACCUCUUUUGUCAGGGAACAAAGGCGGGGACGUAUCCCCGGAUGAGUGUACCUGACGAACAAGCAUCGGCUAACUCCGUGCCAGCAGCCGCGGUAAUACGGAGGAUGCGAGCGUUAUCCGGAUUUAUUGGUUUUAAAGGGGGGGCAGGCGGUCUGUUAAGUCAGCGGUAAAAGCCAGGGGCUAAACCCCGGGCCGCCGUUGAAACUGGCAGUCUCGAGUUGGAGAGAAGUAUGCGGAAUGCGCGGUGUAGCGGUGAAAUGCAUAGAUAUCGCGCAGAACUCCGAUUGCGAAGGCAGCAUGCCGGCUCCACACUGACGCUGAGGCACGAAAGCGUGGGUAUCGAACAGGAUUAGAUACCCGAGUAGUC
rnacentral:rRNA from 1 species